CUGCGAAUCAUUCCGACCGACGUUUACCAGCCAGCGACGCUUCCGGUUUAGAUAGGAAGCCGCCAUAUGCGGGGCGAAAGACUGAAAGAUCGUUAAGAUGGGAGCCUCCCUUUUGCUAUGUGAGCAUCUCAGAGAUUCAUCCACACCUCUCUGCAGUUUUAUAAAGAAUGGAAUGGAAGUUGGAAGGGACCAUGGAGGUCUUCUAGUCCAGCCCCCUGCUCAAGCAGGAGAACCUGUACCAUUUCAGAAAGCUCUCAGAACAGCACAUUCAGAUAUGGCCAUCAAUGUUUAUCAGCGUACUACUAUAUCCCCUCAACUUGCCACCUACUCAAAUCCUGCAGAGCAUUCCCUUCCCAUCCCAGCUGCCAGCAUCCUUUGUUUUUCACCACUCCUUCAAAUACUUUGUCUGAAAUAAUACAGAUUUCUCUUAUUUUUGUAAAUGGACCAAAUAACUGACACGUAUGAAAGGACUACCCAAACCCAGCUACUUUGUAUACAGAAUGAUUCAUAAAUGGAACUCUUUAUAUAUCACUAAAUAUAUAAAUAAAAUAAAAAUAUUUAAAUUUUAAAAUAUUAUGUAAAAACUAGUGUGUGCGUAUGUGUGUGUAUAUUUGUAUAUUACAGUGAAAACCCAACUGUUAUACAUAUGCUGCAAAAAGCAGCACAGUUAGGAGAUUUUAGUCAUGCCAUUUCUGCAAAGUAAACUAAUACUGCUAUGUCUAGGCAGGUGGGAAGAAUACUAACACUGUGAAAUAGUUCAUCAUCUAACUCCUUGUAAUUUUUUAUUUAGGGAUAUGUAGAUUAGAGAGGGGGAAUGAACUAAGUAGCAUACAGUAUGUUUAGAGCCCACUCUGAUACUUUUUUAAAUUAAAUGUACAACUAAGCACAAUAUGUGGAACUCAGGAUGACACAGGCAGUUCUGAAAGCAUCUGUGUAAUAUAAAUAUAAGUAAACAAAGUAUUUAUUAAAAAAGGAUGAAUCAACUAGUUAAAAAAGGAUGUUCCAUGUCUAAGAAUAUCUAUUUUUUCCAUCCCCACUGUAAAAUAAUUUUACGUACUCCACUGCUCCCUGCUCAGAAUGCUCACCACAGUUUUCCAAAUUAAAAUAAAGAACAAUACUUAAACAACCUUCUGAUCGGCAUUCAGAAGGUUGCAAAUAUAGUCUCUGGCCACUUCAAAGUAAAGAAUCCUGAAACACGGAAGAACUAUCACCAAAGUAAACUUAGGAUGCUCAGUGUAUCAUAGAAAGUUCUCUAAAUGCUUAACAGAUUUCUUGUCCCUAAUGGUUUACAUAAAAAAAAAA